CUAAGAAUAUUCCGCAAUGGGCGAAAGCCUGACGGAGCGACGCCGCGUGGAGGAUGAAGGCCUUCGGGUUGUAAACUCCUUUUCUUGGGAAAGAAUAAGGCCGGUAGUAACUGACCGGUCGAUGACGGUACCCAAGGAAUAAGCCCCGGCCAAUUACGUGCCAGCAGCCGCGGUAAUACGUAUGGGGCGAGCGUUGUUCGGAUUCACUGGGCGUAAAGGGCUUGUAGGUGGUGGGAUAAGUCGGGUGUGAAAUCCCUGGGCUUAACCCAGGAACUGCAUUCGAAACUAUCCCGCUAGAGUACCGGAGAGGGAAACGGAAUUCCUGGUGUAGGGGUGAAAUCUGUAGACAUCAGGAAGGACACCGGUGGCGAAGGCGGUUUCCUGGCCGGAUACUGACACUGAGGAGCGAAAGCUAGGGGAGCAAACAGGAUUAGAUACCCUGGUAGUCCUAGCCGUAAACGUUGUGCACUAGGUGUAAGUGGUUUACCCACUUGUGCCGCAGCUAACGCAUUAAGUGCACCGCCUGGGGAGUAUGCUCGCAAGGGUG
rnacentral:rRNA from 1 species